rnacentral:tRNA from 1 species
GCCCUGGUGGCGCAAUGGUUAAGAGCUUGGCUGUUAUCCAAAGGGUUGGUGGUUCGAACCCACCCAGCGGCU